rnacentral:lncRNA from 1 species
UUCUCUGUCUGUCAUGUGGAGUGUUGCAAAAGGGGUUUUCAACUCUCUUUUUCUUUCUUUGAUUUUUUUUCACAAUUCCCUUGUCCUCUUGUUUGGCGAUUCUUGAGAUAUUUAAUUUCAGUGGUGGUCGUCGAUUACUGAUAAUUCAGUUCUUACGUAAUUGUGGUCGAUGCUUGAUUCUUCUGCGAUUGAAGUCUUUCUUUUUGUUAAAUAUUAUUUUGUUAAGUUGGGGUUAUGUACAAUGUUGUUCGAUAUUAACAACUUGGAUUAUUUAGAUGAAGGUCUAGGAACAAUUAAUCCAUCGGAGGAUUAAGGCUCAGGAAGUUGCUAUUUUCGUUCAAAGGUAAUGGUUUUUUGUCAAUUUGGAACUUUUGCGAUUGGUUGGGUUAAUCGUUUGUGGUUUGUAUUGGUGUUUUAAGGGGAAUGAAGAGUAUGCCUUCUUGAAUCGUCUUGCUUAUGUUCAUUAAUUCGUUCAGUGUGUUGUUUUUAGGUGUUGGAAUGAAUGUUUUUGGAACCCACGUUAGAACACCAUAGGUCUGUAACAAAAAACCUAAAAAUCAACGAACAAUGAAAGCCGAAAAUCUUCACUUUCAUCGCCACAUGGUCACAGGUCAUGUGAUGGACCGUGUGAGACACACGGUUUGGGCAAUAUGGGCCCAAAAUUCUGAAUUUCUUCCUAAGGCUAUAAACAUGGUUUGGAUUGAUCGUAGGCCUUCCGUAAGGUCUGUAUGCUAUAAAUUAAGCUAUAAAACACGAAUUCAAAUCAUCUAUUAGCAUAAAAUUAGAAACAAAUACACAUGUUUGAAAUAAUAUAAGAUAAGUAAAAUUUGUAAUACGCUAUAUAUGAACUGAAAAAUGUUAUGUAUGGCCUAAUAUCCGAUAAGCAUGAUUUGAGUUUGAUUUUGAGCAUGUAUGACAUAUACAUAUCUGACAUCUGAUAUAUUAGUACACGCAUUUAGGAUGAGAUUUGUGUAUAUGGAGAAGUGUGGGCAAUAUAAUAACCUGCCAUAUUUGGUGGCUCAGCCACACAUAUUUCUGUUAACGACAAUAAAUCGCCUAAUGAUCUGACAGCUAAGUUGAAAAUAUUAUGAAAAGUGUCGUACCGACACUAAGCGGUGUGUAGGGUUGGAUGGGUAUUUAAUACCCUAUAUAGUGUGUAGCAGAUGAGGGUAGAAUUGUAAAUUUGCAUUUGAUUCUAUUUUUGUAUGUGAUAUAUGUUUCGUAUCUACUCUAUUAUGAAUUAUGUUUGAAAUUUAAUCUGUGAUACUAAUUUUAUAAGUUACACACUGAGUUUCAAAAAUUCACUCUCUAUUUGCUUGUCACUUUCAAGUAACUCUCAGACUUAGAAGAAUUGGUGUGACGAGAGCUCAAUUAUAAUAUUUUGGUACAUUUGAUUUAUUUAAAUUUGGAAUUAAGGUGUUUUGUAAAUUUUGGACUGUUAGGACACUUGGGACUGUUUUGGUUUUGGACUUUAUUAUCGUUUUUCUGCUAAAAAUUGAUUAACCGUUUUUAUUGACGAUGCUCGAUUUUCUUGCAAAAUAAUGGAUUUUCAAACAACAAGUGGUGUUUUUCCAAAAUUUAACGCGCUAAAGAUUUUCGCUACAAAAUUAUAUGUUUUAGAAAAUGUAAACAGACAACCGUAUCAUAAAUCGAUUAAGAAAGAUCUGUUCUCAAAUAAAAUGGAUUUUCACAUAACAAAAGCUAAUGUCACCUUUUCAAAACCAAAGAAUUAUGGUUACAAUGGGGUGAAGUUGGUAUAAAAGGGGAGAAUGGAGUCUGGACCUAAAGGGAAAGCUAUGUGGAUUUGAUAUAAUUUUUAUUAGUGAAACUUUUUGGAAUUUUUUUGUACAGAAUGUACUUAAGUAAUUGAUACUGUUUGCUCAAGUUUGGAUGAUUUCUAUGAAUUUUAUUUUUUUAAUUCUAAUUUUUUUAAUUACAUUAAUGAUUGAUUUAUUAAUAUAUAUUCAUUAAGAGGAAGCACUGCUAUGAAUAUUGUUUUUCACCUUGAUCUCUCACAAUUCGUUGUGGCAAAUUAGAUCUUUUCAGCACUUAAUGAGUUUGAUUUCAAGUUGUUUUAUGUCAUUUUAUUUCGUGUUCCGUUUUAGUAUCUUAGAUUUAAUUAUUAGGAAAAUAAGAAUUUUUACACAUUUUCUAGUGUUUCGAAAACUUGUUAGGCUCAAAAAUGACUAACGGGCUAUUUAAGUGUGUAGGGUGCCAUUCCUGGCCCCAAAACACAAAAGACGACAGCCAUGUCGUGACACAGGGAUGCAAUAUCGCGACACCAAAGAUCGAAUCAAAAAACAAAAUCCUAGAAUGAAAUAGGUAUCAAUCUUGCAACAUUAGAAACUAAUGUCGUGACAUUGGCUUCUGCAUGGCCAAAAAAUCCUAUGUGCAACAACUAUGAAUUUGUGGUCAAUAAAGGGUAUUUUUCUAACCUAAAACCCUAAUUAACAUUAUAAUUGAAGGGGCACUCUAGAAUUUUGGAUUUUUACCAAGUUUCUGCCUAUAUAAACUACAGAAGAACCUCAUUAGGAGGGGGAGCCAACCUAGGAAUUCGCCCUAGGGAGUCGUCAAAUGAUAUUUUCAUACUUUUAAUUUUCAAUUCUCUUUAGUUUUUAUUUUAUUUUUUCAUAUGUUCGCUUAAUUUGAAUCGUUCUAUUCCCAUGGGAAUACGAUUGCAAGUGGAGAUUGUUCCUGAACCAUUUUUCAAUUUAAUUAUUCAUGAGCAUUCUCUUUAUUUCCUUCAUUUUAUUUCAUUAUUUAUAUUUCAUUAACUUGAUUAACUAAUAUUUGUAUGAAUAUUGAGAUAAAAUCUUGUGCGUAUUUUAUAUCUUGCAUGAUUUGGUUAUGGAACUGGUUUAUUAAUUAAGUAAUUAUUUAUCUAAAAUUUAGUUUUUAUCCAAGUACUUAGUAUACUAGGAAGUGACGACCCUAGUAGAAUAACUAAAUAGGUGAGACAAAAAGGGUAUACCGUCAAGUAUAACUUGUGCCAAACGGUGAGACCGAGAGAGUAUUCGUAUACCUGGUAAGAGAGCAAAAGGGUGAUGUAGGUGGUAAUCCUUAGUGAAUAUGAGACCGAGAGGGUAUUCUUAACUAAGGGUAGUAAAUAACUCAGUUGAGAGUAAUUAGUGACUUAAUUGAUAAUUAUAAAUUUAAUCGAUUAUAGGCUAGGAACUCAUAUUGUUAACACUAGGAAUAGGAAAUUCCAUUAGGAUAUUUUAAAUUAAUUAAAUUCUAUCAGGUUAUUUUAUGAUAAUUAAUUUAACUAGUUUAAUUAAUAUUUUAGUUUGCAUCAACAAUACUAAGUGUGACUCAAUUAGAUUAUUAAUUAUUUUCUAUAAUUAAUUUAAAAAUAAAUUUAUCCAAUCCGCAAUCCCUUGGGUAUGAUCUUCGGAAUACUUUCCAAGUGUUACGUUGUAAACAAACUAUAUUACAAUUUGACACGUAUACUUAGGUACACCACUGCUUUAUUUGAUAUCUUUUUGUUGCAGUAUAUCCAGUCCAAACGUUCACAUGUCUGGUAGCGAUCAAGUUCUUGGCGCCAUUGUCAAGGAUUGUGACAGUGAAAAUUGUUACUAAUUUAAUUACUUUGUAAAAUAAUAUUAGUUGAAAGACAAACGAGUUAGAUAGUGUGCUAAUCUUUUUAAUUACUUAUUUUAUUUUUAUUUUAACUACCUUGAUAAAUAAUUAAUUUAAUCAUGGAUCAAUUUGAUGAUGAACUUGACGAUGAUAGCAGUUGGGACAAGGAACAUGAGAUGUCUGUGUGGUAUGAUGAUGAAGGGUAUGUUAGUGAUGGACCAAGUUGGGAAAACAGAGCUUCGAUGAGCUACGGUAGUCCCAGAUAUUCAGCCUAACAAGAAUUGGACUUGGUCAUGGAUGAUAAUGUAUACUAGGAUUUGAAUGAGCAACAUAGGAGUAAUCACAGAUCAAGUUGGCUAAACGAAGUCUCGAUGAAUCAGCAAAGUCAUGAUUGAAGGUGUGAAGAUUACGAAUAUAUAUUCAAAUUUCCUCUGUAACUGGUAGAAUAUAUUUCUUUCUACCUCAGUCUAGAAUCCCAAGCUAAAUUUAAGAAAGUCCAAAAAACAUCAGACCAGUUAAAGACAUCCAAAUAUCCAAUUGAGCUCUCUUAUAAUUCACAUGAGACAGCCUUGUGUAAAGCAACCACGUCAACCUACAACGAGGAUGUGGCAAAAAAAAAGAGUUACUGCAGCAAAUAUUGGAAAUGAAAAAAUCACUAAAAC